CCUACGGGGGGCUGCAGUGGGGAAUAUUGGACAAUGGGGGCAACCCUGAUCCAGCCAUGCCGCGUGUGUGAAGAAGGCCCUCGGGUUGUAAAGCACUUUCAGUGAGGAAGAACGCCUGGUGGUUAAUACCCAUCAGGAAAGACAUCACUCACAGAAGAAGCACCGGCUAACUCCGUGCCAGCAGCCGCGGUAAUACGGAGGGUGCGAGCGUUAAUCGGAAUUACUGGGCGUAAAGCGCGCGUAGGUGGCUUGAUAAGCCGGUUGUGAAAGCCCCGGGCUCAACCUGGGAACGGCAUCCGGAACUGUCAAGCUAGAGUGCAGGAGAGGAAGGUAGAAUUCCCGGUGUAGCGGUGAAAUGCGUAGAGAUCGGGAGGAAUACCAGUGGCGAAGGCGGCCUUCUGGACUGACACUGACACUGAGGUGCGAAAGCGUGGGUAGCAAACAGGAUUAGAUAUCCGGGUAGUC
rnacentral:rRNA from 1 species